GAUGAACGCUGGCGGCGUGCCUAAUACAUGCAAGUCGAGCGAACGGACGAGAAGCUUGCUUCUCUGAUGUUAGCGGCGGACGGGUGAGUAACACGUGGAUAACCUACCUAUAAGACUGGGAUAACUUCGGGAAACCGUAGCUAAUACCGGAUAAUAUUUUGAACCGCAUGGUUCAAAAGUGAAAGACGGUCUUGCUGUCACUUAUAGAUGGAUCCGCGCUGCAUUAGCUAGUUGGUAAGGUAACGGCUUACCAAGGCAACGAUGCAUAGCCGACCUGAGAGGGUGAUCGGCCACACUGGAACUGAGACACGGUCCAGACUCCUACGGGAGGCAGCAGUAGGGUAUCUUACGCAAUGGGCGAAAGCCUGACGGAGCAACGCCGCGUGAGUGAUGAAGGUCUUCGGAGCGUAAAACUCUGUUAUUAGGGAAGAACAUAUGUGUAAGUAACUGUGCACAGCUUGACGGUACCUAAUCAGAAAGCCACGGCUAACUACGUG
rnacentral:rRNA from 1 species